AUUGAACGCUGGCGGCAGGCCUAACACAUGCAAGUCGAGCGGAGCGGCGGACGGGUGAGUAAUGCCUAGGAAUCUGCCUGGUAGUGGGGGAUAACGUCCGGAAACGGGCGCUAAUACCGCAUACUAUCAGAUGAGCCUAGGUCGGAUUAGCUAGUUGGAGGGGUAAAGGCCUACCAAGGCGAUGAUCCGUAACUGGUCUGAGAGGAUGAUCAGUCACACUGUGACUGAGACACGGGCCAGACUCGUACGGGAGGCAGCAGUGGGGAAUAUUGGGCAAUGGGCGAAAGCCUGAUCCAGCCAUGCCGCGUGUGUGAAGAAGGGCGUCGGAUUGUAAAGCGCUUUAGGUUGGGAGGCGUUACCAACAGAAUAGGCACCGGCUAACUUCGUGCCAGCAGCCGCGGUAAUAC
rnacentral:rRNA from 1 species